rnacentral:tRNA from 1 species
ACUGUUUUAGUAUAUUGUUUAUUACACUAGCUUUUCGUGCUAGAGAUAGUGAUUCCACUAAGCAGCG